rnacentral:tRNA from 4 species
GCUCUUGUAGCCCAACUGGAAGAGGCUGCCGUCUCAAAAACGGUAUGUUGUGGGUUCGAUUCCCACCAAGAGUACCA